UCAAUAAGAAACUUUCUACAGCU
rnacentral:siRNA from 1 species